GAAGUUCGGAGAGGACCUUUGCCAACUUGUCCAAUUUCUGGCUAAGAAGGUGAUUUUGCGCAGCUGCAGCGUCUUCAGUAGGAAGAUGCAAGAGUCCUCCUUUUUGCGUGCCCCUCUCACUCUGCGACACUUCGUUUAAGGCCAUCUCUUCAAUCAAGUCAUACGCCUCAUCUUCCGUUUUUCUAUUGAUACUGCCUCCAGCUAAGGCAUCUAACAUCAUUUUGGAAUGAGCG
rnacentral:lncRNA from 1 species